rnacentral:rRNA from 1 species
CACGCUGUAAACGAUGGAUACUAGGUGUAGGGGUUUCAAUACCUCUGUGCCGGAGUAAACACAAUAAGUAUCCCACCUGGGGAGUACGAUCGCAAGGUUGAAACUCAAAGGAAUUGACGGGGGCCCGCACAAGCAGUGGAGUAUGUGGUUUAAUUCGAAGCAACGCGAAGAACCUUACCAGGGCUUGACAUCCCUCUGACCGCUCUAGAGAUAGAGCUUCCCUUUUGGGCAGAGGAGACAGGUGG